rnacentral:rRNA from 1 species
UGAGGAAUAUUGGUCAAUGGGGGCAACCCUGAACCAGCCAAGUCGCGUGAAGGAUGAAGGUCUUAUGGAUUGUAAACUUCUUUUAUACAGGAAUAAAUUGGGGGACGUGUCCCCUUUUGCAUGUACUGUAUGAAUAAGGAUCGGCUAACUCCGUGCCAGCAGCCGCGGUAAUACGGAGGAUCCGAGCGUUAUCCGGAUUUAUUGGGUUUAAAGGGUGCGCAGGCGGGAUGUUAAGUCGGCGGUGAAAUUUUGCAGCUCAACUGUAGAAGUGCCUUCGAUACUGGCUUCCUUGAGUGUAGAUGAAGUAGGCGGAAUUUGUGGUGUAGCGGUGAAAUGCUUAGAUAUCACGAGGAACUCCGAUUGCGCAGGCAGCUUACUAAACUACAACUGACGCUGAUGCACGAAGGCGUGGGGAUCAAACA